rnacentral:pre_miRNA from 1 species
UCUCAUGGAUGAGCAGAGACAGUGGUUUCUUGAGAUGGAAUCUACUCCUUGUAAAAAUACUAUGAGAG